rnacentral:rRNA from 1 species
CAGCCGCCGCGGUAAUACGUAGGGUGCAAGCGUUAAUCGGAAUUACUGGGCGUAAAGCGUGCGCAGGCGGUUAUAUAAGUCAGAUGUGAAAUCCCCGGGCUCAGCCUGGGAACUGCAUUUGAGACUGUAUGGCUAGAGCGUGUCAGAGGGGGGUAGAAUUCCACGUGUAGCAGUGAAAUGCGUAGAUAUGUGGAGGAAUACCGAUGGCGAAGGCAGCCCCCUGGGAUAACACUGACGCUGAGGCUCGAAAGCGUGGGGAGCAAACAGGAUUAGAUACCCGUGUAGUCCCUGUCUCUUAUAC